UACGUAGGGCGCAAGCGUUGUCCGGAAUUAUUGGGCGUAAAGAGCUCGUAGGCGGUUUGUCGCGUCUGCUGUGAAAACCUCAGGCUCAACCUGGGGCUUGCAGUGGGUACGGGCAGACUAGAGUGAUGUAGGGGAGACUGGAAUUCCUGGUGUAGCGGUGAAAUGCGUAGAUAUCGUAAGGAAGACCAGUGGCGAAGGCGAGUUCCUGGACAGUUGGCUGACACUG
rnacentral:rRNA from 1 species